rnacentral:lncRNA from 1 species
GAGAACAAGCUAGUUAUUGAAAAAGUGUGCAUCAAAAUAUGUAGACACAGAAAGAAACAUAUGAAAAUAAAUACGGGUUGAUGAUAGAUAGAUGACUGCUGAUCAUAAAUGUUUUCUAAGAAGCACCAAAUAGCACUGGCGUUUGGCCCAGCCCAAAUACAUUUAAGCCCAAUACACCGACCAACUCCCACGCACGCUCGUCUCUCCUCCUUUCCCCCAACCAGACCUUAUCUGUUCUCCUCCUUUCCGCAAAUCAACCCACAUCUUUCACAGUUUCACUCGCUUCUCGCUGUUGCCAACUGUUGGCCGCCGGCCUUGCCAACUCUCGCUGCCCACCACAGCUAGGGCCCUCCAAGCCGCCACGCCGGGUGCCGGGUGUCUGCUGGUUUUGGCUGCUGGCUGCUGCCGCUUCUCCUCUCGCUGCCUUCUCCGCUCGUGCUACCUGCUGCCGUGCUGCGGACCACUGUUGCUGCCGCCGGCUCAUAAACUAAUCGGUGAACUGUUGUUGAAGCGCCGAAGGAGCAAGACUGCUGCAAGAGCAAGGUAUGUUUCGAAAAUAAUUAAAGAAGAAUGAUUCAAUGAUGUUCUUCAGACUUGCAUAAAGUUUUGAUUGCCAUGUAAUUUUUGAAGUUACUAUCCGCGUCAGCCAUGUAUUGUGCCAACUUUUGAUAGACUAAGCAUCCAUGAUUUUUGUGCUAUAUACGUCAGUAAUGAAGUACAGUUUCAGAUCCAUCAUUCAUUCAUGCGUUUUGGGCUAUGCCUUUUUUAGUAGACAGUCGGCCAUCUUCUGAUUCAGAAAAGAGGUGACAAUGUUUUUUGAAUUUUUGGCUCAGGUGACACUGGUGAAACAGAAAACCAUGGUCCAGGAGAGCAUAUCUGUAGUUAUUGGUUGUAGGCGUCUUUUGGUCAGUCCGGUGUAUUCCACAGUUGUGGCUAUGGAGCAUUUUUGGCCAGUUCCGUGUAUUCUACGGUUGUGGCUAUGGAGCACUGGAUAAUAGUAAUUAUCCACAAUAGCAGGUAUGUUGGUGUUACCAUGUAUCUGUGUAAACAUAAAUAGUGAGCAUUGGAUAAUAGUAGUAAUUAUAUGUUAUAACAUUGUUAGCUGCAUCUAUUUUUGUGCACAUUUUGCUUUGUAUUCGAAACUGCCAGAUAGGACAAAUAAACUAUACGUAGUACAUGUACAUAUGAACUGAAUUACACCGGGCAUCCUGAAGCCAGCGGGUAAAAACAAUGGAACAACCUGGAAGCAAGAAUGCAGCACAUGCAAAAACAUAUAAUAAUGAAGGUGUAUAAAACAUAGCUGUUUUUGGCAAAAAGAAUCAAUUCUUUCUAGUGCCUUAAUUCUGGGGCUACACAUUUGCAGCUCUUACAACUUAUCUGCGAUAAUCUGUCAAAGUACUGCAUGCAUCAAACAUUUGCUAGGAUAGCUGAAAGCUGAAACUAUCCGGCACAAGGACCAUCUAAUUUUCCAAGGCUGUUAGUCACUAUGUGUGAACAAGGCCCUCAAAACUCUACCCGAGCAAACACGACGUUCCAUCUCCGAAUAGAAAGUGAGGCACCCAGCAAAAACUCCCUUUGCAGAGACAACGCCACAUCCUUAAGUUAGUUCUACACCCUUCAUCAGCAUGAAGAAAGAACGUAUGAAAGCAGAAAUUAACAGCAGUCACAAGCAAUAAUCAACGGCAAGCAACACCAGGUAAAGACAUGAAACGACACAAUGCAUGGAACACACACAGUUAGAACCGGGUAAAUAACUGAAUCUGAAAUGAGUAUAAGAAAAGAAAAUGCUUAGGAGGAGAUGAAACCUUGGCACGACGAAAGAGAGCAGCCGAGGCGUCGAGCGAGCUGAACUGCAGCUGAAUCUUCACAAAACUGGAGUGAGGAGGCGAGCUGACCGGGAUGGAAAACAGAUGGAGGCAGAAACAACUGGCUGCUCAACAAAAUGAUGGCAGCGGUUAAAUGCAAGAAAAAGAAUAGGGUCCUGAACACAUGCCUUCUUAAAUUCGAUCAAGGUUUUAUCGGUACAGAGUAAUGAAGCUUGUCAACAUAAUUUGUUUUAUUCUAAUAUAUGAGAAGCAUGAUACAAGCGCAUGCAUAGAUUAAGAAAAACAUCAAUGACACACACUAGUGAGAGGCAAACGUGCCGAGAGAUUGCUGACUAUUAGAUCAUAAUCUAUUUACAACAUGUAAAAUUAGCAUUUUACCUUAUAAAAUUCAGGCUAACCAACUUACCAAGCUAGGAAAGCAAAAGGCAUACAAUGCAUAUAAUCUAUGGAAUACCGAGGCAAGCAAUAGGAUGAACCUGUCUUUGGUGAGGUCUGAAUCUAUACCUAUUUACAGUGUUACUGCACCGAGUCCGUAAAUCUCGCAAACUUGGCUGCACAAAUAUUAUAGGUGUCAUUAUUUUCUCUCAGCCAAUGUAUAGCAGCAGAUUCCCAACUCGAGCCUGCCACUCUUCAAAAUAAAAAUCACAUCCUACCAUACCUCAGAGUCUGUGGUAAACAACACCAGCUCGGACGGCGUCCAUUAGCAGCUGGUCUUUGUCUUCUUCAGCUGAAAGUAAUGGUGAAGCAGAUGACGAGCCAGCGCGUGAGGCCACGCCCUGUUCCUUCCCCCGCUGGUCUCACUCGCCCAAUUCCCUCCCCCUGCUGGGCUUGCCGGUUUAUUCAGAAAAAUAAGAAAGGAACCACAACACUUGCACAAUAUUGCAUAGAUGGGAAGAAAGAGAGAGUGAUAGAGAUCAGGAGCAAAGUGUGAGAAGGACGCAGAGAAGCUCACUUUGGCAUCACCGACGGCGCUGCCACCUCGACCUGAGAGUACCUCUCCGUCUGGAUCCCUACACCCCCACCUCGGGCCAUUGUCCUGCAGUCUUGCCAGCCCCAACUCGACCUGUGAGCGGCUCAUCCAUCCGUGGGCAGGAGAAGACGCUGCCGCCUCGGCCCGUCGCCUUGUAGCCUCGCCCGCCCCCACGGCCAGAUGCGCUGUUGCACGGGGAGAGAGGAGGAAAGACAAGGGUGGCGGCGGCAGCUGGAGAGGAUGAACGGGGGGAGGAGAGGUGGCGGCUAGGGU